UGGGGAAUCUUCCGCAAUGGACGAAAGUCUGACGGAGCAACGCCGCGUGAGUGAUGACGGUCUUCGGAUUGUAAAGCUCUGUUAAUCGGGACGAAUGGUUUAUGUGCAAAUAGUGCAUAGACAUAACGGUACCGGAAUAGAAAGCCACGGCUAACUACGUGCCAGCAGCCGCGGUAAUACGUAGGUGGCAAGCGUUGUCCGGAAUUAUUGGGCGUAAAGCGCGGGCAGGCGGACGAGCCAGUCAGUCUUAAAAGUUCGGGGCUUAACCCCGUGAUGGGAUUGAAACUGCUAGUCUAGAGUAUCGGAGAGGAAAGUGGAAUUCCUAGUGUAGCGGUGAAAUGCGUAGAUAUUAGGAAGAACACCAGUGGCGAAGGCGACUUUCUGGACGAACACUGACGCUGAGGCGCGAAAGCCAGGGGAGCGAACAGG
rnacentral:rRNA from 1 species